rnacentral:rRNA from 1 species
GACGAACGCUGGCGGCGUGCUUAACACAUGCAAGUCGAACGGAAAGGCUCCAGCUUUCUGGAGUACUCGAGUGGCGAACGGGUGAGUAACACGUGUGUAAUCUGCCCUUCUCUCUGGGAUAUGCCUUGGAAACUGGGUCUCUUACUGGAUAUGACCUUUCUCCUUAUGUGGUUUGGUGGUAAGUUUUUCGGUUUAUGAUGGGUCCGCGGCCUAUCAGCUUGUUGGUGGGGUGAUGGAAUACCAAGGCUACGACGGGUAGCCGACCUGAGAGGGUGAUCGGCGACAAGGGGACUGAGGGAGGGCGCAGACGGCAACGGGAGGCAGCAGUGGGGAAUAUGGCACAAUGGGAGGAAGCGUGAGGCAGAGACGCAGCGUGAGGGAUGACGGCCUUCGGGGUGUAAACAAAUUUCAGAAGGGACGAAGAGUAAGUGACGGUACCUGCAGAAGAAGCACCGGCUAACUACGUG